rnacentral:rRNA from 1 species
CCUGACUGCUAUCGGAUUGAUACUAAGCCAUGCGAGUCAUUGUAGCAAUACAAGGCAGACGGCUCAGUAACGCGUAGUCAACCUAACCUAUGGACGGGAAUAACCUCGGGAAACUGAGUAUAAUGCCCGAUAGAACACUAUACCUGGAAUGGUUUGUGUUCCAAAUGAUUUAUCGCCGUAGGAUGGGACUGCGGCCUAUCAGUUUGUUGGUGAGGUAAUGGCCCACCAAGACUAUUACAGGUACGGGCUCUGAGAGGAGUAGCCCGGAGAUGGGUACUGAGACACGGACCCAGGCCCUAUGGGGCGCAGCAGGCGAGAAAACUUUGCAAUGUGCGAAAGCACGACAAGGUUAAUCCGAGUGGUUUCUGCUAAAGGAACCUUUUGUCAGUCCUAGAAACACUGAUGAAUAAGGGGUGGGCAAGUUCUGGUGUCAGCCGCCGCGGUAAAACCAGCACCUCAAGUGGUCAGGAUGAUUAUUGGGCCUAAAGCAUCCGUAGCCGGCUCUGUAAGUUUUCGGUUAAAUCUGUACGCUCAACGUACAUGCUGCCGGGAAUACUGCAUAGCUAGGGAGUGGGAGAGGUAGACGGUACUCGGUAAGAAGGGGUAAAA